AGAAAAUAGCUUACCUCUGUAUCACUCCCUCAAAAGGAACAGCUACCCCAGGGUAAAACUAUUGGAUCAAAUCUUAAAGGAAAGAACACAGCCAUAACCGUGUAAGUUUCAGCUGGAUAUUUCCCAAAAAAGUCAGUACCAUGAUAAACUUGAAAUCAUCUAAAAUCCUGCAACCUUGAUUUCUCCAGAGGUGAUCUUUAGUGUUUUACAAGAGGUGAACAUCCACAUCCUAUCUCAGAAGGACACUCUAAACAGGUAUCUCAUUGUUAAUUUCAGGCAGUUAAAAAAAAAAAAAAAAAAAGUAACCAAAAACCCCAUGACUUAAAUACCCAUUAGAAAACUGCUAGGUACGGUAUCUUGUCAACCAGUUUUCUCCUCAGAGGACUGAAAUGUGCCUUAGGAAUACCUAAAGGUACAGAACACCUCUAAGGAAACUUAGCAAAGCCUCAAAAACUUCAGUUUCCUUUAAGUCUGUAAUACAUAUUUCAGUUGGAGUCUGUAAACCCUAUUUUAAACUUGCCUUCAGAUUCACAAAAAGCCCUGAAACCAAUCACUUUCCUGUCUACAUUCUGCAAUCAGGUUUCUGUUGCUUUAUAUGAUGGCUCACAUUAACAGAAACGGUUCACAUUUUAGAAUAUUACGGGACCAAUUUGUAAAUUGGAUUAGAAUGAAGAGGUAUGACACCUUUAGUAGAUUUAGAAAACAUAAAGAGAGCAUUGUAAUGCUUAUAGGUAAACUGUGUGUUUACACAGAACUUCUCUGACCUUCCAUAGAAGCACCUGAAACAAAGUGAUAAUCAGGAGCCAAAGAAAUAUGAUUAUUUUUAUUUUUUUUUAGCACAAAAGUGUAAAUUGAUAAUUAAAUCUGUCAACAUAGUGUAGCUUUUCUCAGAAGUAUUUAACCAAUAGUAUUCAUUAGGAAGGUCUGCCCAUAUUAAUGAUGGAAGAGAUCUCACGGAAGACGAGCUAAUAAAAAAUCCCAUAGUUAAGAACUUAUUCUACAAUUCACAUAUGUGAAGUGAAAUUGAUUGGCUUGACUACAACUCUUCGAAAACCUCACUCAUACAAGUCCCAGCAAAACUGCAGCUAAAUUCACUCAACUGCUUUAUUACAUGCACCAGAGAAAGAUGACAGCCUUCUCAAUGGUCUCAAUCUGCCACGUACUUAACUGCUCCUUUAUGAAAAAGUUUGCCUGAUGACUAAGAGAAGGUGGUCAUCUUUGUUAACAUUGAAAACUUAUCACCCCUUUGCUAAUAAGUAAAUGAAGGCAAGCUUUCUCAUGCAUAAAGAGUUUCUGUCAAUGGGGAUCUCUUAACAGAGUUGCAGGCUCCCCAAGGUUCACCAAAAGAAGAAAACAGCACAGAAAGAUAAAGAAGAAAGGAAGGAUGGAUGCUCCUGCAACCUGAAGACUGGACCAAGAGGCAGCAGAUCAGGAGUGAGCUUUCAUAUUUGCCACAGAGCUCUUAUGUAAGUUUGGAAAGGUCUCUUAGAUGCUGAGCCAGUAAUAUUAACUCAGCACAUCCCACUGACUUCAGUUUCUGGCAAGACUUGAAUCACACAUGACAUCCUAAACUACCAAAUUUUUUCCUGUUACUCUAGCCACGCUACAUAGAAUAAAGCUUUCUUU
ensembl:lncRNA